rnacentral:tRNA from 1 species
GCCCUGCUAGCUCAACUGGAUAGAGCACCUCACUUCUAAUGAGGAUGUUACAGGUUCGAGUCCUGUGCGGGGUG